GAACUGAAGAGUUUGAUCAUGGCUCAGAUUGAACGCUGGCGGCAGGCCUAACACAUGCAAGUCGAGCGGAUGAAGGGAGCUUGCUCCUGGAUUCAGCGGCGGACGGGUGAGUAAUGCCUAGGAAUCUGCCUGGUAGUGGGGGAUAACGUCCGGAAACGGGCGCUAAUACCGCAUACGUCCUGAGGGAGAAAGUGGGGGAUCUUCGGACCUCACGCUAUCAGAUGAGC
rnacentral:rRNA from 1 species